AGGUUGGAGCAUGCGCCAUAUUUUUGAUAGAUUAUAAUAAUAUUGCACACGUCCCGGCCUGA
rnacentral:pre_miRNA from 1 species